AUUGAACGCUGGCGGAAUGCUAUACACAUGCAAGUCGAGCGGCAGCACGGGGGCAACCCUGGUGGCGAGCGGCGAACGGGUGAGUAAUACAUCGGAACAUGCCCAGUCGUGGGGGAUAACACUUCGAAAGAAGUGCUAAUACCGCAUACGUCCUGAGGGAGAAAGCGGGGGAUCUUCGGACCUCGCGCGAUUGGAGUGGCCGAUGUCAGAUUAGCUAGUUGGGGGGGUAAAGGCCUACCAAGGCAACGAUCUGUAGCUGGUCUGAGAGGAUGAUCAGCCACACUGGGACUGAGACACGGCCCAGACUCCUACGGGAGGCAGCAGUGGGGAAUUGUGGACAAUGGGGGCAACCCUGAUCCAGCCAUUCCGCGUGAGUGAAGAAGGCCUUCGGGUUGUAAAGCUCUUUCGGCAGGAACGAAACGGCGAGCUCUAACAUAGCUUGCUAAUGACGGUACCUGAAGAAGAAGCACCGGCUAACUACGUGCCAGCAGCCGCAGUAACAC
rnacentral:rRNA from 1 species